rnacentral:rRNA from 1 species
ACUCAAAUGAAUUGACGGGGGCCCGCACAAGCGGUGGAGCAUGUGGUUCAAUUCGACGCAACGCGAAGAACCUUACCCAGGCUUGAACUGCGAAUGACCAGUUCCGAAAGGGACCUCCCGCAAGGGCAUUCGUAGAGGUGCUGCAUGGCUGUCGUCAGCUCGUGUCGUGAGAUGUUGGGUUAAGUCCCGCAACGAGCGCAACCCUUGUUUGCUGUUGCCAUCAGGUAAUGCUGGGCACUCUGCAAAGACUGCCGGUGAUAAACCGGAGGAAGGUGGGGAUGACGUCAAGUCAGCAUGGCCUUUAUGUCUGGGGCUACACACGUGCUACAAUGGCAGAUACAAACCGUCGCGAGACCGCAAGGUGGAGCUAAUCGGAGAAAGUCUGUCUCAGUUCGGAUCGCAGGCUGCAACCCGCCUGCGUGAAGUUGGAAUCGCUAGUAAUCGCGGAUCAGCACGCCGCGGUGAAUACGUUCCCGGGCCUUGUACACACCGCCCGU